CUAAUAGGUAUUCAGACUUUGGAUGAAAUUGCACAAUUUUUAUACAUAUUAGGUACUUUAAUUUCUUCUAGUUACUUCAAUCAUAUACAAUGCAUAUUGUAUUCAGAUUUUCAUAUUUAUAAUCAUUCUGCUUUCUUUUCUACAGGUAUCCAUAUUCUCUUACCUGGUUAAAACGGAGAAAAUUAACUGGGAGAGUAUAAACAUAAUGUCACAGUACAAUGCACAGUGUCAACAAAUACGACUGGCAUUAAGAAAGAGAAAGAUUGAUUUCUGCAAUGUCAAUACAGUUGUAGCAAGUCAAGGUGGUGAGUGGGAUUACGUCAUAUUCAGUUUGGUGUGAGGUCCAUCCGGAGUACAGAAUUGAACCUCAGCCAACGGAUGGAUGGUGUAAAGAAAAUCUGGGAUUCAUCACUGAUGCUCACCAGAUUAAUGUUGCUUUAACAAGAGCACGUAAAGGACUUAUUUUAAUAGGGAAUAAGAAUCUGAUGUCAUGUGAACAAACUGUUUUGGAGCCUAUGUUGACUCACUUCAGAAAAAAUAACUGUAUUGUUGAUGCGACGGAUUUUCUUCCAAAACACGAUGCUAAACUGAAGACGAGGGUGUAAUCGAUAUCAGAAACGUAAUAUAAAGGAUUUAAAACAAAACAGUCCUAAUGCUACAUGGGUACGCUGUGAGCAGUACCUACUAUUCUAGAGAGGCUGAAAGCGAAUAUGUGAUCGACUUGGUUUGAAAUUGUAGCUUGUGAAUGACAAAUAUUGUAAAUGUUAAAGGUUUCAACUUUUAAACCUGGUUUCUUUUCUAACUGAUUAAUUAGCUGAUAUAAACACUAUUCUUAUUAUGCCUCUCCACUAUUGGCACUAUAGGGAUGUUAUUUUAAAUCUUAUGUUACUUUUACUAAAAA